rnacentral:rRNA from 1 species
GAUGAACGCUGACAGAAUGCUUAACACAUGCAAGUCUUUGGUGAAGCUGUGCUUGCACAGCCUAGCCAAGACGGACGGGUGAGUAGCGCGUAAGGAACUUGCCCUGCAGUCAGGGAUAACAGACGGAAACGACUGAUAAGACCUGGUAAAGUCAGGCGGACUCAUGUCCAGCCUGAUGAAAAGAGAUGCUGCAGGAGAGCCUUGCGUCCUAUUAGCUUGUUGGUGGGGUAACGGCCCACCAAGGCAAUGAUAGGUAGCCGGCCUGAGAGGGUGGACGGCCACAAGGGGACUGAGAUACGGCCCUUACUCCUACGGGAGGCAGCAGUGGGGAAUAUUGGACAAUGGGGGCAACCCUGAUCCAGCAAUUCUGUGUGCACGAUGAAGGUUUUCGGAUUGUAAAGUGCUUUCAGCAGGGAAGAAAAAAAUGACGGUACCUGCAGAAGAAGCGACGGCUAAAUACGUG